AGAGUUUGAUCCUGGCUCAGAUUGAACGCUGGCGGCAUGCCUUACACAUGCAAGUCGAACGGUAACGCGGGGGCAACCCUGGCGACGAGUGGCGAACGGGUGAGUAAUACAUCGGAACAUAUCCAGUAGCGGGGGAUAACCUAUCGAAAGAUGGACUAAUACCGCAUACGAUCUACGGAUGAAAGCAGGGGACCGCAAGGCCUUGCACUAUUGGAGUGGCCGAUGUCGGAUUAGCUAGUUGGUGGGGUAAAGGCUUACCAAGGCGACGAUCCGUAGCUGGUCUGAGAGGACGAUCAGCCACACUGGAACUGAGACACGGUCCAGACUCCUACGGGAGGCAGCAGUGGGGAAUUUUGGACAAUGGGCGCAAGCCUGAUCCAGCCAUGCCGCGUGAGUGAAGAAGGCCUUCGGGUUGUAAAGCUCUUUCGGUGAAGACGAAAGGGUUAGCGCUAAUAACGCUGACUAAUGACGGUACUCACAGAAGAAGCACCGGCUAACUACGUGCCAGCAGCCGCGGUAAUACGUAGGGUGCAGGCGUUAAUCGGAAUUACUGGGCGUAAAGCGUGCGCAGGCGGUUUGCUAAGACAGGUGUGAAAUCCCCGGGCUUACCUGGGAAUUGCGCUUGUAACUGGCAAGCUAGAGUGUGGCAGAGGGGGGUGGAAUUCCACGUGUAGCAGUGAAAUGCGUAGAUAUGUGGAGGAACACCGAUGGCGAAGGCAGCCCCCUGGGUUAACACUGACGCUCAUGCACGAAAGCGUGGGGAGCAAACAGGAUUAGAUACCCUGGUAGUCCACGCCCUAAACUAUGUCAACUAGUUGUCGGGGAAGAAAUUCCUUGGUAACGAAGCUAACGCGUGAAGUUGACCGCCUGGGGAGUACGGCCGCAAGGUUAAAACUCAAAGGAAUUGACGGGGACCCGCACAAGCGGUGGAUUAUGUGGAUUAAUUCGAUGCAACGCGAAAAACCUUACCUACCCUUGACAUGCUAGGAAGCCCGCAGAGAUGUGGGUGUGCCCGAAAGGGAACCUAGACACAGGUGCUGCAUGGCUGUCGUCAGCUCGUGUCGUGAGAUGUUGGGUUAAGUCCCGCAACGAGCGCAACCCUUGCCAUUAGUUGCUACAUUCAGUUGGGCACUCUAAUGGGACCGCCGGUGACAAACCGGAGGAAGGUGGGGAUGACGUCAAGUCCUCAUGGCCCUUAUGGGUAGGGCUUCACACGUAAUACAAUGGUCGGUACGGAGGGCUGCCAACCCGCAAGGGGGAGCUAAUCCCAGAAAGCCGAUCGUAGUCCGGAUUGUAGUCUGCAACUCGACUGCAUGAAGCCGGAAUCGCUAGUAAUCGCGGAUCAGCAUGUCGCGGUGAAUACGUUCCCGGGUCUUGUACACACCGCCCGUCACACCAUGGGAGUGGGUUCCACCAGAAGUAGUUAGCCUAACCGCAAGGAGGGCGAUUACCACGGUGAGAUUCAUGACUGGGGUGAAGUCGUAACAAGGUA
rnacentral:rRNA from 1 species